rnacentral:rRNA from 1 species
ACGGAAGGCAGCAGUGGGGAAUAUUGCACAAUGGGGGAAACCCUGAUACAGCAACGCCACGUGUGGGAAGAAGCAUUUCGGUGUGUAAACCACUGUCGUGAAGGAAUAAGGCUUAUUUUCGGAUAAGUUGAAUGUACUUUGAAAGGAAGCACCGGCAAACUUCGUGCCAGCAGCCGCGGUAAUACGAGGGGUGCACGCGUUGUUCGGAAUCACUGGGCGUAAAGGGAGCGCAGGCGGAGAUGCAAGCAGUCUGUACAAUACCGGGGCCCAACCCCGGACCUGCAGACUGGACUGUUUCUCUUGGAUAGCUCAGGGGCUGGCGGAAUUCCUGGUGUAGCGGUGGAAUGCGUAGAGAUCAGGAAGAACACCGAUGGCGAAGGCAGCCAGCUGGGGGCUUAUCGACGCUCAUGCUCGAAAGUGCGGGUAGCAAACAGGAUUGGAUACCCUGGUA